GACGAACGCUGGCGGCGGGCUUAACACAUGCAAGUCGAACGGAAAGGCCCUGCUUUUGUGGUGUUCUCGAUUGGCGAACGGGUGAGUAACACGUGAGUAACCUGCCCUUGACUUUGGGAUAACUUCAGGAAACUGGGGCUAAUACCGUAUAGGAUCUCCUGCUGCAGUGUGGGGGUUGGAAAGUUUAGGCUGUUGGGGUUGGACGCGCGGCUGAACAGCUUGUUGGUUGGGGAGUGGCUUACCAAGGCUUUGACGGGUAGCCCGCAUGUGAGGGUGACCGGGCACCUUGGGACUGAGAUACGGCCCAGACUCGUACGGGAGGCAGUAGUCGGGAGCCUUGCACAAUCGGCGCAAGUCUGAUGCAGAAACGCCGGGUGCGGAAAGACCGUCUUCGGGUAGUAAAAAGCUUUCGCCUGUGACGCAGCGGGAGUGACGGUACUGGGUAAAGAAGCACCGGCUAACUACGUG
rnacentral:rRNA from 1 species